ACACAUGCAGUCGAGCGGAGUGAUGGUGCUUGCACUAUCACUUAGCGGCGGACGGGUGAGUAAUGCUUAGGAAUCUGCCUAUUAGUGGGGGACAACAUUUCGAAAGGAAUGCUAAUACCGCAUACGCCCUACGGGGGAAAGCAGGGGACCUUCGGGCCUUGCGCUAAUAGAUGAGCCUAAGUCAGAUUAGCUAGUUGGUGGGGUAAAGGCCUACCAAGGCGACGAUCUGUAGCGGGUCUGAGAGGAUGAUCCGCCACACUGGGACUGAGACACGGCCCAGACUCCUACGGGAGGCAGCAGUGGGGAAUAUUGGACAAUGGGGGAAACCCUGAUCCAGCCAUGCCGCGUGUGUGAAGAAGGCCUUUUGGUUGUAAAGCACUUUAAGCGAGGAGGAGGCUACUUAGAUUAAUACUCUAGGAUAGUGGACGUUACUCGCAGAACAAGCACCGGCUAACUCUGUGCCAGCAGCCGCGGUAAUACAGAGGGUGCGAGCGUUAAUCGGAUUUACUGGGCGUAAAGCGUGCGUAGGUGGUCUUUUAAGUCGGAUGUGAAAUCCCUGAGCUUAACUUAGGAAUUGCAUUCGAUACUGGGAGACUAGAGUAUGGGAGAGGAUGGUAGAAUUCCAGGUGUAGCGGUGAAAUGCGUAGAGAUCUGGAGGAAUACCGAUGGCGAACGCAGCCAUCUGGCCUAAUACUGACACUGAGGCACGAAGCAUGGGGAGCAAACAGGAUUAGAUACCCUGGUAGUCCAUGCCGUAA
rnacentral:rRNA from 1 species